rnacentral:rRNA from 1 species
AUUGAACGCUGGCGGCAAGCCUUACACAUGCAAGUCGAGCGGAGCGGCGGACGGGUGAGUAAUGCCUAGGAAUCUGCCUGGUAGUGGGGGAUAACGUCCGGAAACGGGCGCUAAUACCGCAUACUAUCAGAUGAGCCUAGGUCGGAGUAGCUGGUUGGUGGGGUAAAGGCCUACAAAGGCGACGAUCCGUAACUGGUCUGAGAGGAUGAUCAGUCACACUGGAACUGAGACACGGUCCAGAUUUCUACGGGAGGCAGCAGUGGGGAAUGUUGGACGAUGGGCGAAAGCCGGAGCCAGCCAUGCCGAGUGUGUGAAGAAGGUCUUCGGAGUGUAAAGCACUUUAAGUUGGGAGGCGUGACCAACAGAAUAAGCACCGGCUAACUUCGUGCCAGCAGCCGCGGUAAUUC